GACAUGCAGAGAACUUUCCAGAGAUGGAUUGGUGCCUUCGGGAACUCUGACACAGGUGCUGCAUGGCUGUCGUCAGCUCGUGCCGUGAGAUGUUGGGUUAAGUUCCGUAACGAGCGCAACCCUUGUCCUUAGUUACCAGCACGUUAUGGUGGACACUCUAAGGAGACUGCCGGUGACAAACCGGAGGAAGGUGGGGAUGACGUCAAGUCAUCAUGGCCCUUACGGCCUGGGCUACACACGUGCUACAAUGGUCGGUACAAAGGGUUGCCAAGCCGCGAGGUGGAGCUAAUCCCAUAAAACCGAUCGUAGUCCGGAUCGCAGUCUGCAACUCGACUGCGUGAAGUCGGAAUCGCCAGUAAUCGUGAAUCAGAAUGUCACGGUGAAUACGUUCCCGGGCCUU
rnacentral:rRNA from 1 species